GUCAGAACGGUAGGGUCUCCAAGACGGGAUCAGCGUCUUUAGAAGAAGAGGAAGAGAGACCAGAGUUCUCUCUCCAUCUCUGCCACGUGAAGACACAGAAAGAAGGUGGCUGUCUGUAAGCAAGGAAGAGCCUCACCAGGAAUCAGCACCUUGAUCUUGGACUUAACCUCCAGAACCGGGAGAAGUAAAUGACUGUUGUUUCAGCCACCUGGGGUUAUGGUGUUUUCCUAGAGCAGCCCACAAUGACCAACACACUCACUCAAAAUACCCCUCUGGUGUGGGCAUAGUUCAGCAGAACUGUGCUCCAUCCUCACGUAAAGAAUGUGUGUGAUCAGACCACUGAAGUACUUAACAACUAUGAAAGAGAAAGAAUUUUAAAAUGUACAGAUCUAGAUACUUCCAUUACUAAGAAACACAGCUUAAUUUCAUCUCCUAUUCACGGAUUUAUAAACCGGGAUUCUUCUCACAACCUGUGGAAACUAUGACAAAAACCUCUCAGAGGAGAUGUGAGAAAGAAGGAGAGAGGAGAAUCAAAUAAGAAGAGUCCGUUUUAUAAAGGUUAGAGAGUUCUCUUCUAAUAACACAAACCUAGUUAGAAUGAAUGUUGGCAGAAAUGUCCCAUCAAUCAAGUGAAUACCCACUAAUCCUUGAGACCUAACUCAAAUGCUGUAUCCUGCAAGCUCGCGCCACUCCUUCCCAGGCAGUCAGACAUAAUUUACUCUGUGCUCCCCUUUCUCCAUUUCAGCACUGAGCAAAAGGCACUAUAUUUGUUUAUGGAUCUGUCUCUUCCACCAGACUCUGAAAUCAUCUAGGGCAGCGUGCUACUCUCUCCAGCACCUAGAAUGGUGACUGGCAUGAAGCAGUUUGAUGAAGUGGAGCCACUUUGCUUUGCUGAAUGGAAGUGGAACUCUCUGUGCUAUCUCACAGCUUUUCUGUAAAUCUGAAAUUAUUCCAAAAUAAACAGGUUUUUUUAAAAAGGCACCAGGAGCCACUGUAUUAUCAGUAAUAAUCACACCUGCCUUACAUGUCAGGCAAGAAGACACCAGCUACGAGAGCCUUGCCUCACUGUUUUUCAGACGUGCCAGCAGGAGUUAGUAACCUUACAUGUAGCAAACUUGAAAAACAAUGAGUAACAAACACUUGAGAUUUUAAUCCUGACCUUAACUUUGGUCAAAUUGUUUAACCUUAGUCUCAGUUUGUGAAAAGGGAAUAGUAAUUCCGACCCUACAAGGCUGCCGUGCUACAUGAACUAUACAGAGUAUAUAUCAAAUGAGCUCUCCUAACGAUGUUCUAAUCAAUACGUGUUAGCGACCUUCCCCAGGCAGUGCUGCAACUGGACUAACGCUUCACCGCAAACCAGGUGCAUACUGUAACUAGUUCCACCUGGCACGGACUGUAAAGUUCUAAUUCAAUCACCAUUCGGGCUAUGAUUACCUAUAAAAUAAUCCUACAUAUGUGUCCGUAGAUGCCAACCCUGCCAAGAUGUCCUAGUCCAGAACUCCCCAACGAAAUACACAGGCUAUUCAAAACUCAACGCAACCGACAGGGGUCAGCAGCUCCUGGCACCCAUCUCCCCCGGACUAAGCUCCAGAAAGCGGGCACGCACACUCAGGCCGUGCUCGCCGACUAGGAAGAGCUCUUGGCAGAAGUCCCUCGGAGAUGAAACCGGAAGUCCCACCCCUCCCCAAGUGGAAAACGGAAAGCCGAAGGAGUCAACCGAAGGAAGGGGAGACGCGCGUCAGGCUGAGAGCCUGGCGGCGUGUGACCGGGAAGGCCACCUGGGACUUCCAGCGGCUCCCCGAGCGGGUAACCCCCGGGCGAUCCCGCCUCCUCCCUCUCCAUCUCUCCUCACUCCACCCCUUCGCCCGCCCGCGAUGAGAAAAAUGAAGCUCAAAGAAGUGACGUAUUAUUCCCUAGUUCUGCCUGUACUGGCUAACUUUGGUGACUGUUUGCCUCUCUGAUGUCCCACGCUUACUCUCCCACACACACUGCUCCUGCUAAUCUGGCCCUGUGGCCAGGAUGUAGUCCCAGUAAAGAGACUCCCUGGCAAGAGGGAGAUGCUGCACAGACAAGGCGCCAGAACUUCACUCCCACAUCGUCUCCAUAUCAAAGCAGCAUUUUCAAACACACAGAGAAUGUUGAGAAACAUUGAAUAUGUCUGUUUGUCUCAUAUCAAAGAGGCCUAUCAGGAGUUACAGUUUAGUUAGCCUAAAUAUAAAACCUGUUUUAAUGAGAACUAUAUACAUUUUAUGUCUAAUUAGCCAAUUAAUUUGCUAUUCCUGCAUGAAAUUUACAAAACUUGCUAAGAGAAAAAUUUAGAAUGGAGAUGCCUAAUAGGAACUGAAUUAAACUAUCGUGGUUUAAACACAAAGUGGUCUGGGGUGGUGAACAUGAAGUAAUCUACACAGAAUUUGAAGUAUAUUACGAUGUACACCUGAAAUUUAUACAAUGUUAU
ensembl:lncRNA